rnacentral:SRP_RNA from 1 species
GCUGGGCACGGUGGUGCUUGCCUGUAGUCCCAGCUACUCGGGAGGCUGAGGUGGGAGGAUCACUUGAGCCCAGGAGUUCUGAGCUGUAGUUCACUAUGCCGAUAGGGUGUCUGCACUAAGUUCGGCAUCAAUAUGGUGAUCUCCUGGGAGCGGGGGACCACCAGGUUGCCUAAGGAGGGGUGAACCGGCCCAGGUUGGAAACGGAGCAGGUCAAAACUCCCGUGCUGAUCAGUAGUGGGAUUGCGCCUGUGAAUAGCCACUGCACUCCAGCCUGGGCAACAUAGCAAGACCCCGUCUCU